CACAGAUAAGCAAUCAACUAUGCAUCUGGUAGCUAUGUGGCAACUCGGUGGCACCAACUCCGACGCCCUCAUAAAGCCACCCAAUUCAGUCCUCGACGUUGACAUGAAAGCCUAUUUGAAGGGUCCCAAAGUUCGGGGGGCGGAGGAAGAAAGCCGGGUUGUGGCGCGAUGCCUGGAGGCUGGAGCGACGAGCGAGCGAGCGAAGGAG
rnacentral:misc_RNA from 1 species